rnacentral:rRNA from 1 species
ACAACUUUUAAUAAUAGAUCUCUUAGUUCUAGUAUUAAUAAAGAACGCAGCGAAAUGCGAUAAGUAGUGUGAAUUGUAGAAUUUAGUAAAUUAUUAAAUCUUUGAACGUAUAUUGCGCCCCUUAGUAUUCUAUAGGGCAUGCCUGUUUAAGCGUUAUUUGUACCCUUAAGCUCUGCUUGGUGUUAGGUGUUUGUUUUACUUAGGACUCGCCUUAAAACAAUUAGUAGCUAGUAUAUUAGCCUAGAGCGCAGCACAUUUUGUGCCUCUUGUUAUAGUUAUUAGCAUCUAUUAAGACACUUUUUAAGCUCUUAACCUUAGAUUAGGUAAGGAUACCCGCUAAACUUAAGUAUAUUAAUAAGCGGAGGAAAAGAAACUAAUAGGGAUUGCCCUAGUAACGGCGAGUGAAGCGGUAAUAGCUUAAAUUUGAAAUCUGGCUCUUUUAGGGUCCAAGUUAUAAUUUGCAGAGGGCGCUUUAGCGUUAGUAGUGGUCUAAGUUCCUUAGAAUAGGAUGUUAUAGAGGGUAAGAAUCCUAUACGUGGUUGCUAGCCUUUGCUAUAUAAAGCCCCUUUAACAAGUUAAGUUAUUUAGGAAUGCAGCUCUAAAUAGGAGGUAAAUUUCUUCUAAAGCUAAAUACUAGCUAGAGACUAAUAGCGCACAAGUAGAGUAAUUAAAAGAUAAAAAGUACUUUAGAAAGAGAGUUAAAUAGCACGUAAAAUUGUUAAAAGGGAAGCGCUUGCAGCUAGACUUGCCUGUAGUUGCUUAUCUAGGCUUUUGUCUAGUGCACUCUUCUAUAGGUAGGCUAGCAUUAGUUUAGGUAGUUAGAUAAAGGUCUCUGUUAUGUACCUCCCUUUAGGGAGGCCUUAUAGGGGAGACGACAUGCAACUAGCCUAGACUAAGGUCCGCGUAUCUGCUAGGAUGCUGGCGUAAUAGCUGUAAGCGGCCUGUCUUAAAACAUAGACUAAGGAGUCUAAUAUCUAUGCGAGUGUUUAGGUGUUAAGCCUAGACGCGUAAUAAAAGUAAACGGAGGUGGGACCCCUUUUAGGGUGUACUAUUAACUAAUCCUAAUAUCUUUAGAAGGAUUUAAGUAAGAGCAUAGCUAUUAGGACCUAAAAGAUAGUGAACUAUGCUUAAAUACGGUAAAGCUAGAGGAAACUCUAGUAGAGGCUCGCAGCAGUUCUAACGUGCAAAUUAAUUGUUAAAUUUAGGCAUAGGGGCGAAAGACUAAUUAAACUAUCUAGUAGCUAGUUCCUACUAAAGUUUCCCUUAGGAUAGCAGUAACGUAUUUAGUUUUAUAAGGUAAAGCGAAUAAUUAGAGGCCUAGGGGUUAAAAUAACCUUUACCUAUUCUUAAACUUUAAAUAUGUAAGAAGUCCUUAUUACUUAAUUAAACGUGGACACUUAAAUAUACUAUUACUAGUAGGCUAUUUUUGGUAAGCAGAACUAGCAAUAUAGGAUAAACUAAACGUAGGGUUAAGGUGCUAGAAUGCACGCUUAUUAGAUACUACAAAAGGUGUUAGUUUAUCUAGACAGUAGGAUAGUAGCUAUAGAAGUUAGAAUCUACUAAGGAGUGUGUAAUAACUUACCUACUAAAUAAACUAGCCCUAAAAAUAGAUGGCGCUUAAGCGUGUUACCUAUACCCCGCCGCUAGGGCAAGAUUUAAGCCCUAGCAAGUAGGCAGGCGUAGAGGCUCGUGACGAAGCCUUAGGGGUAACCCUAGGUAGAAUAGCCUCUAGUGUAGAUCUUAGUAGUAGUAGCAAAUACUUAAAUAAGAACUUUAAGGACUAAAGUAGGGAAAGGUUCUGUGUAAAUAGCAGUUAGACACGGGUUAGUUAAUCCUAAGAGAUAGGGUAAUUCUAUUUUAAUGUCGGCGCUUACACCGCGCCCUUAAAAGGGAAGCUAGUUAAUAUUCUAGCACCUAGAUGUAGAUUCUCUGUAGCAACGUAACUAAGAGCAGAGACCUUAGCAGGAGCCCUAAGAAGAGUUCUCUUUUCUUCUUAACGGUCUAUUACCCUAAAAUUAGUUUAUCUAGAGCUAGGGUUUAAUAGCUAGAAGAGCGCUGCACUUUUAUAGCGUUUAGUGCGCUCCUAAUAAGCCUUAAAAAUCUACUUAAAGAAAUAGUUUUUACGCUAGGUCGUACUUAUAACUAUAGCAGGUCUCUAAGGUAAAAAGCCUCUAGUUAAUAGAAUAAUAUAGAUAAGGGAAGUUAGUAAAAUAGAUCUAUAACUUUAGGAAAAGGAUUAGCUCUAAGGGUUAGGUACGUUGGGCCUUAGGGAGAAGCCUCUAGCGUAGAAGGGCACUAACCAUAAGGUGGGCGCCUCUUAGCGCUAGGGUGCAGACACCCUUAGUAGAGUUUUAGCUAUCUAGCGUAUAUUUAAUAACUAACUUAGAACUAGUAUAGAUAAGGGGAAUCUAACUAUCUAAUUAAAACAUAGCAUUGCAAUAGCUAGAAAGUAGUAUUAACGUAAUGUGAUUUCUGCCUAGUGCUCUAAAUAUUAAAGCAAAGAGAUUUAACUAAGCGCGGGUAAAUAGCGGGAGUAACUAUAACUCUCUUAAGGUAGCUAAAUGCCUUGUUAUCUAAUUAGUGACGCGUAUAAAUAGAUUAAUGAGAUUCCUACUAUCCCUAUCUACUAUCUAGCGAAACUAUAGCUAAGGGAACAGGCUUAGCUAAAUUAGCGGGGAAAGAAGACCCUGUUAAGCUUGACUCUAGUUUAAUAUUGUAAAAAGAUAUAGGGGGUGUAGAAUAGGUAGGAGCUUUAGCACUAGUGAAAUACUACUACCCUUAUUGUUUUUUUACUUAUUUGAUAAAGUGGAGCUAGGCCUUACUACCUAACUUCUAGCGUUUAAGGUCCUUUGUGGGCUAAUCUAGGUUAAAGAUAUUGUUAGGUAGGGAGUUUGGCUAGGGCGGCACAUCUAUUAAACUAUAACGUAGGUGUCCUAAGGGGGACUUAUAGAGAAUAGAAAUCUCUAGUAGAGCAAAAGGGCAAAAGUCCCCUUGAUUUUGAUUUUUAGUGUGAAUACAAACCAUGAAAGUGUAGCCUAUUAAUCCUUUAGUCCCUUAAAAUUUAAGGCUAGAGGUGCUAGAAAAGUUACCACAGGGAUAACUAGCUUGUGGCAGCUAAGCGUUUAUAGCAACGUUGCUUUUUAAUCCUUUAAUAUUAGCUCUUCCUAUUAUACUAAAGCAGAAUUUAGUAAGCGUUAGAUUAUUUACCUACUAAUAGGGAACGUAAGCUAGGUUUAGACUAUUGUAAGAUAGGUUAGUUUUACCCUACUAAUAACCUUGCCCUAAUAGUAAUACCGCUUAGUACAAGAGGAACCGUGGUUUUAGAUAAUUAGUUUUUGCGGCUGUCUAACUAGGUAUUGCCGCGAAGCUACUAUCUACUAGAUUAUAGCUAAACGCCUCUAAGUUAGAAUCUAUGCUAGAAUAGGGUGAUUUCUGCCUGCACUAGUUAGAUAUAAAUAGGCCUUUGGCCUAGAACCUUACUAGAUCGGCGUUAGCAGCCCUAUUGAAGUUAGAGUUGUUAGCUAGUGUAUUAUAAUUGUAUAGUGCGCAGGAU